UCUUGUACACACCGCCCGUCACACCAUGGGAGUCGGAAAUGCCCGAAGUCAGUGACCUAACCUUUAAGGGAGGAGCUGCCGAAGGUGGAGCCGGUAACUGGGGUGAAGUCGUAACAAGGUAGCCGUAUCGGAAGGUGCGGCUGGAUCACCUCCUUUCUAGGGAA
rnacentral:rRNA from 1 species